rnacentral:rRNA from 1 species
UGAUACGUAGGGGUCUAGCGUUGUCCGGAAUUAUUGGGCGUAAAGAGCUCGUAGGCGGUUCGGCAAGUCGGAUGUGAAAUCUCCACGCUUAACGUGGAGGGGCCAUUCGAAACUGCCGUGACUCGAGUCCGGUAGGGGAGUGCGGAAUUCCCGGUGUAGCGGUGAAAUGCGCAGAUAUCGGGAGGAACACCAGUGGCGAAGGCGGCACUCUGGGCCGGAACUGACGCUGAGGAGCGAAAGCGUGGGGAGCGAACAGGAUUAGAUACCCUGGUAGUCCACGCCGUAAACGUUGGGCACUAGGUGUGGGGCUCUAUCGACGGGUUCCGUGCCGUAGCUAACGCAUUAAGUGCCCCGCCUGGGGAGUACGGCCGCAAGGCUA